rnacentral:rRNA from 1 species
GUGAGGAAUAUUGGUCAAUGGCCGCAAGGCUGAACCAGCCAAGUAGCGUGAAGGAUGACCGCCCUACGGGUCGUAAACUUCUUUUAUAAAGGAAUAAAGGCGUCCACGUGUGGACGUUUGCAUGUACUUUAUGAAUAAGCAUCGGCUAACUCCGUGCCAGCAGCCGCGGUAAUACGGAGGAUGCGAGCGUUAUCCGGAUUUAUUGGGUUUAAAGGGAGCGCAGACGGGCUGUUAAGUCAGCUGUGAAAUGCCGCGGCUCAACCGUGGACCUGCAGUUGAUACUGGCGGCCUUGAGUGCGGUUGAGGCAGGCGGAAUUCGUGGUGUAGCGGUGAAAUGCUUAGAUAUCACGAAGAACCCCGAUUGCGAAGGCAGCCUGCCAAUCCGUUACUGACGUUCAUGCUCGAAGGUGCGGGUAUCAAACAGGAUUAGAUACCCGGGUAGUCC